AUUGAACGCUGGCGGCAUGCUUUACACAUGCAAGUCGAACGGCAGCACGGACUUCGGUCUGGUGGCGAGUGGCGAACGGGUGAGUAAUACAUCGGAACGUACCCAGUAAUGGGGGAUAACUAUCCGAAAGGAUAGCUAAUACCGCAUACGCCCUACGGGGGAAAGAGGGGGAUCGCAAGACCUCUUGUUAUUGGAGCGGCCGAUGGCUGAUUAGCUAGUUGGUAGGGUAAAGGCCUACCAAGGCAACGAUCAGUAGCGGGUCUUAGAGGACGAUCCGCCACACUGGAACUGAGACACGGUCCAGACUCCUACGGGAGGCAGCAGUGGGGAAUCUUGGACAAUGGGCGCAAGCCUGAUCCAGCAAUGCCGCGUGCGUGAAGAAGGCCUUCGGGUUGUAAAGCGCUUUUGUCAGGGAGCAAAUCCUUGUGGCUAAUACCCACCGGGGAUGAGAGUACCUGAAGAAUAAGGACCGGCUAACUACGUGCCAGCAGCCGCCGUAA
rnacentral:rRNA from 1 species